rnacentral:rRNA from 1 species
CCCUUAGAUGUCCUGGGCCGCACGCGUGCUACACUGAUGCAUACAGCGAGUACUCCCAGCUCCGAGAGGCUGCUGGUAAUCAGCAAUAUGCAUCGUGAUGGGGAUAGAUCUUUGGAAUUAUAGAUCUUGAACGAGGAAUUCCUAGUAAUCGCAGGUCAUCACCCUGCGUUGACUAAGUCCCUGCCCUUUGUACACACCGCCCGUCGCUCCUACCGAUUUCGAGUGAUCCGGUGAAUCAUUCGGACCGCGGCCCCUAGGCAUGCAGAAAGUCUAGUAAACCAUAUCACUUAGAGGAAGGAGAAGUCGUAACA